UGUCGCAUUUCCAACAAGCUGCCGUUGGAGAGCAUCUCUCUCAUCUCAUCUCAUCUUCUCCUCUCUCUAUCCUCGAGCCCAGCGCCACUCCACUGAAGACUCAUCUCUCUACCGUCCUUGCAUUUAUCUCGCUUCUCUCAUCCACAACACAAACACCCUUAGCCGCCCCUCCCUCAUCCACCAUUUCUGCAACCCUCUGCCUUCAACAAAAACCUCAGACCUGAGCCCAGCUCACCUAUUUCAGCCAUCACGGUUUGCCGACUCAUAAAGUGAGCUUGUGUUGCAGACGACAAUCAGAGACGAUGGCGAACACGACAAGGAACGGUUGCAACGUCAAACUCGCGAUCCGCAGAAAAAUGAGCAACGGCAACCUCGAUAUCCACAGAUCUCAAAAAUACAGAUUAGUGCUAGGAGUUGAAUCAGUUUCCCUGGUCUCUGUCCUACUGGAUACUUGAUUUGCUCGCAAAGCUGUGCUCCCUUCUAUGUUGCUUGGAUCCCACCCCCAAACUUGUAUGUAAUAAUAUUUUAUAUAAAAUGCGAGGGAGUGAUCGAGUGCCAAGCAAUGCAAGGGACUUCAUCACCAACCCCACUGUGAGUAUGUCUGGGACACUGCCUGUGCAUAUUUCUGCAUUCGAUUAAUUUUCUGCACUUUUCGUUAAUGAUGAAUGAUGGUGAGUGCUGAUGUGCUGAGUUGAAUGUAUAAAUUCUGAAUGCAUGAUUCAGAUGAA